rnacentral:miRNA from 1 species
ACACACACACACACACACACAUAUAUGUGUGUGUGUGUGUGUGUGU